rnacentral:rRNA from 1 species
GACGGAGGGUGCUAGCGUUGUUCGGAUUCACUGGGCGUAAAGGGCGCGUAGGCGGCCUGGAAAGUCAGAUGUGAAAGCCCGGGGCUCAACGCCGGAAUUGCAUUUGAGACUGCCUGGCUAGAGGUCGAAAGAGGAGAGUGGAAUACCCAGUGUAGAGGUGAAAUUCGUAGAUAUUGGGUGGAACACCAGUGGCGAAAGCGGCUCUCUGGUUCGAAUCUGACGCUGAGGCGCGAAAGCGUGGGGAGCAAACAGG